UAAAGAUUCAUCGGCUGCGGAUGGCCAUGCGGCGCAUUAGCUAGUCGGCGGGGUAACGGCCCACCGAGGCGACGAUGCGUAGGGGUUCUGAGAGGAAGGUCCCCCACACUGGUACUGAGACACGGACCAGACUCCUACGGGAGGCAGCAGUGAGGAAUAUUGGUCAAUGGCCGGGAGGCUGAACCAGCCAGGUCGCGUGAGGGAAGACGGCCCUACGGGUUGUAAACCUCUUUUGUCAGGGAGCAAGAGGCGGGUCGAGACCUGCUGUGAGAGUACCUGAAGAAAAAGCAUCGGCUAACUCCGUGCCAGCAGCCGCGGUAAUACGGAGGAUGCGAGCGUUAUCCGGAUUUAUUGGGUUUAAAGGGUGCGCAGGCGGAGGCACAAGUCAGCGGUAAAAUCGCGGGGCUCAACCCCGCUCCGCCGUUGAAACUGUGUCCCUUGAGUGCGCGAAGGGUAGGCGGAAUGCGUGGUGUAGCGGUGAAAUGCAUAGAUAUCACGCAGAACUCCGAUCGCGAAGGCAGCCUACCGGCGCGCAACUGACGCUCAUGCACGAAAGCGUGGGUAUCGAACAGGAUUAGAUACCCUGGUAGUCCACGCAGUAAACGAUGAAUGCUAUCUGUCCGGCCGGAAUGACGGCUGG
rnacentral:rRNA from 1 species